ensembl:antisense Gm15353 predicted gene 15353
ACAGUGAAGAAGGAAUGCAGGAAGAGUCUCGGGAUCAGGAGCCCACAGGCUGGACUCACUCCAGCUUCUGCAGAGUCGGAACGAAGCCUCAGGAGGGAUGGCUCCACAGCAAGAAUCACCCUUUGUCUGGACCAGAGCCUGGGAGAAGCAGAAACAUGGGGCUCAUGCUGAGAAAGGCUCCAACCCCCGGUUCCCACUUGGGGUCCACCUUGGAAGACCGGACUGUAGCUGUUCCUUGCGGACAGGGCAGUCACCAGCAGAGAGAGAUGGGAGCUGAAACACAAGCCGCAGACCUCAGGUUAACCCAUGACAACCCUUGGCGCAGCCAGGGGCUUGGCUACUGGUUCUGGUGCUCCGUGGCGCAGCUCAGGACCUUAGAGUCUGAUCAUCAGUUCGGAUCAGAGAGCGGCUUGGGCCGCCAGCACCUACCUGAGGCUGUAGCAGCCGUGGCCUCUGCUUUGUCUGGAACCAGCCUGAUGCCAUCAGACACGUCCACCUGGUGAUCAGCCUCCUCCCUUGAGGCCCCAUCAUGCUGUGGUGACAGAGGAUUGCUUCUAACGUGUUCCUUGCAGAAGAUGAAGCACCAGCAGUCGGACAUGAGGCUGUGAUGUCAAGGGAACAUGAGGUCAAGGUGCAGAUCGAAGGAUUGCUUCUUCGGACAAGAACAAAACCACUAGCUGCAGUCUUUAGCAUUUAUUCUGA